GUAGGGUCCGAGCGUUAUCCGGAAUCAUUGGGCGUAAAGAGCUCGUAGGCGGUUCAGCAAGUCGGCUGUGAAAGUUCGAGGCUCAACCUCGAAAUUGCAGUCGAUACUGCUGUGACUUGAAUUCGGUAGAGGAGAAUGGAAUUCCCGGUGUAGCGGUGAAAUGCGCAGAUAUCGGGAGGAACACCAGUAGCGAAGGCGGUUCUCUGGGCCGAUAUUGACGCUGAGGAGCGAAAGCGUGGGGGGAGCAAACAGGAUUAGAUACCCUGGUAGUCCACGCCGUAAACCGUUGGAUGCUAGGUGUGGCGGUCUACCCCAACGACUGCCGUGCCGAAGCUAACGCAUUAAGCAUCCCCGCCUGGGAGUACGGCCGCAAGGCUA
rnacentral:rRNA from 1 species